rnacentral:rRNA from 1 species
UACGGAGGGGGCAAGCGUUGUUCGGAAUUACUGGGCGUAAAGGGCUCGUAGGCGGCCAACUAAGUCAGACGUGAAAUCCCCAGGCUCAACCUGGGAACUGCGUCUGAUACUGGAUGGCUUGAAUUCGGGAGAGGGAUGCAGAAUUCCAGGUGUAGCGGUGAAAUGCGUAGAUAUCUGGAGGAAUACCGGUGGCGAAGGCGGCAUCCUGGACCGACAUUGACGCUGAGGAGCGAAAGCUAGGGGAGCAAACGGG